rnacentral:rRNA from 1 species
CCUACGGGUGGCAGCAGUGGGGAAUAUUGGACAAUGGGCGAAAGCCUGAUCCAGCCAUGCCGCGUGUGUGAAGAAGGCCUUCGGGUUGUAAAGCACUUUCAGUGGGGAAGAAAGCCUUGGGGCUAAUACCCUCGAGGAAGGACAUCACCCACAGAAGAAGCACCGGCUAACUCCGUGCCAGCAGCCGCGGUAAUACGGAGGGUGCGAGCGUUAAUCGGAAUUACUGGGCGUAAAGCGCGCGUAGGCGGUCUGAUAAGCCGGUUGUGAAAGCCCCGGGCUCAACCUGGGAACGGCAUCCGGAACUGUCAGGCUAGAGUGCUGGAGAGGAAGGUAGAAUUCCCGGUGUAGCGGUGAAAUGCGUAGAGAUCGGGAGGAAUACCAGUGGCGAAGGCGGCCUUCUGGACUGACACUGACGCUGAGGUGCGAAAGCGUGGGUAGCAAACAGGAUUAGAUCCCCAGUAGUC